rnacentral:misc_RNA from 1 species
GGGGGCAGAAGGUAUUCACAGGCUGGUCUGAACUAGUCGAUGUGUUGUGUUGAUACCUCCUUAUGUCAUAAGUUCGUGCGUAUUCAUCAGAGCCUCCAAUGGAGAAAUAGUUGGGAUUGCGCGGAUCCACAAUGAUAGAAUUCAGUCGUAUCGGCUGCUUGUUCUCCGGAAAAGAUGUGCACAUGAAAAGCUUGGUAGGAGAUUGGCUUCGUAGAUCAAAAUGUCGUACGAAGCCAUCCUCGCCGCAACUGUAAAAUAUGUGUGAACUUCCUGGCUCUAUGGCAAGAUUGUGUACACGGCCGCGAUGUGUCCCAAGUUGUUUGGUGUUGGCACUACCGUCCUCUGAAAUCUGGCCAAGUCUGACCUGACCAUCAGCAGCAGAAGUUACUAUGGUUCGAUCAUCAGUGAAUGGCAUAAUUCUG